GCUUGACUGUAGCUUGGAAUUGGGUUUGGGCUCUUCUUGCGCAGCCUAGGUGGGAGGCGUUGAAAAUCUCUUUUCGGGGAGAUUGGAGCCAUCAGUGAGAGACCACUCUGGAGGAGCUAGAAUUCUAAUGGCGAUCCUUGAAUCAGGACGCUUGACAGUUUCAGGUGGGCAGUUUGACUGGGGCGGUCACCUCAUAAAAGGUAACUGAGGUGUGCAAAGGUUCCCUCAGGCUGGACGGAAAUCAGCCGGAGAGUGUAAAGGCAGAAGGGAGCUUGACUGCAAGACCUACAAGUCGAGCAGGGGCGAAAGCCGGCCUUAGUGAUCCGACGGUACCGCGUGGAA
rnacentral:rRNA from 1 species